AGCUAAAUAGCUUAAUAAAAGCAGAUAUUUUGAAAGUAUAAGAAAAAGGUUUAAUUCCUUUAUUAGCUU
rnacentral:tRNA from 1 species